rnacentral:lncRNA from 1 species
AGAAUGUCCUUCCACCUGUUUUAUGCUGUAAGACAAACUUCCAAGUGCGAGGCAGUGUGGAGGGCUGUUGCCUUGAAUGGCAGCUGAAUGCACCAGCGGGAUCCUUGGCAGCAAUGCCCAGGCACUGAAGUCGGGCAUUCAGGAGAGCUAAAUGGAGAAAAGAAACUUGAGCAAACUGCUUCCUGGAACACUGAGAACCUGAAUGGGAAAUUAAGAAGAACCAGAUUCUUUCUAUUCUUCCACCAGCCAAGGUGAUGAGCACAAAAGGAUCCAUCUUAUACAGUGCUUGCCAGCUUCCAUAAUACUACUCACCACGAUGUUGAAAUCACCUGUUCCAGAACCAGUCCUGUCCUUUGACAAGAAGGAUUUAAUUAUCAGUAGUGGUGGGGACUGGCUGGAGAGAGGAAAAACACUUCAAGGACUCUGCCACCUUUCGUAGAUGGAGAGUGCAAAGUUUGUACCAUGGAACUCCUUCUCUAACAGUUACUCUGUGGCAGUGCCUAUUUCAAACCUCCCUUAACUUCUGAUUGUAUAGAUGUUUGUUUCAUUUGUUCAUCUGUUUGUUCACUUAGUCAGAGAUGUUUUAAGCCUUAAGAGAAAUAGUGGACUAGAAAAUGCCUUGGAAAAGUACAAAGUUCAAUCCAAGUAAACUGUUUUUAAACUAGGAAUUUAUGAAGCCUAAAAUAUAAAAUGUAUAUACAUGGAUAUGCUCUGAA